rnacentral:tRNA from 2 species
GCCGCGGUCGCAUAGCCCGGCCAUUGCGAUGGAUUGCUAAUCCAUUGUCCUUUUUGGGACACGUGAGUUCAAAUCUCACCCGCGGCG